rnacentral:lncRNA from 1 species
AAUGUUUGUUUUUUUUUGUAAUCCAUGAUCGAAAUGUUUGUUUGUUUUUUUUUAAUCCAUGAUUGAAUUUUUUGUUUUUUGCUUUUUUUGUAACCCAUGAUAGAGUUUUUUGUAAUCCAUGAUUGAAUUUUUUGUAAUCCAUGAUCGAACUAUUUUUUUCUUUUUUUGUAAUCCACGAUUGAAUUUUUUGUUUUUUUUGUUUGUUUUUUUUUGUAAUCCAUGAUCGAAUUUUAUGUAAUCCAUGAUCGAAUUUUAUGUAAUCCAUGAUCGAAUUUUAUGUAAUCCAUGAUUGAAUAUUUUGAAAAUUUGUGAUUUUUUUUGUUUAAUCCAUGAUCGAAUUUUUUUUUGUAAUCCAUGAUAGAAUUUUUUGAAAAUUUGUGAUUUUUUUUUUAAUCCGUGAUCGAUUUUUUUGAAAAUUUGUUUUUUUUUUUUUUAAUCCAUAUUAUUCAAAGAGAAAAUGAGAGAGAUGAUGAUUCUGAGGCCACCCUAUCCCAGCCAUAUUAUUCACAUAUCGAGUCCCA